UGAGGAAUAUUGGUCAAUGGGCGAGAGCCUGAACCAGCCAAGUCGCGUGAAGGAAGACAGUCCUAAGGAUUGUAAACUUCUUUUAUACGGGAAUAACGGGCGAUACGAGUAUUGCAUUGAAUGUACCGUAAGAAUAAGCAUCGGCUAACUCCGUGCCAGCAGCCGCGGUAAUACGGAGGUUGCGAGCGUUAUCCGGAUUUAUUGGGUUUAAAGGGUGCGUAGGUUGUUCGGUAAGUCAGCGGUGAAACCUGAGCGCUCAACGUUCAGCCUGCCGUUGAAACUGCCGGGCUUGAGUUCAGUGGCGGCAGGCGGAAUUCGUGGUGUAGCGGUGAAAUGCAUAGAUAUCACGAGGAACUCCGAUUGCGAAGGCAGCUUACCAUACUGCGACUGACACUGAAGCACGAAGGCGUGGGUAUCAAACAGG
rnacentral:rRNA from 1 species